GACAUUACGCCCCUGCUAAAAUCGGUUUCCUAUUGAACAUACUUCUUUCCGUAAGAAAUAGUAUAGUUUGAUUACAUUUUAGGGUAUCUGAGGAGUAAAUAGACAUGUAUUUUGACUUGUGAACCAAAGUUUAGGGGUAGAUUUUUGGAUUCCUUUCUCUGCAUGUUGAACGAGUGGAUUACUCAAAUUGAUGGCGCCAACUAAACAGACUUUUUGGAAUAUAAAGAACUAUUUUAUCUAACAAAAUGACACUACAUGUUAUAGCUGGCACCCUUUGGAUGACAAAUCAGAAGAACAUUUUCAAAAGCACAAAGACCAGAACAACCCACUCCAGCCUACAUACAACCAUCUGAUGACCUGAGCCCUAGGACCAUGCCUCAGGACUACCUGGCUUGAUGACUCCUUGCAGUCCCCAGUUCACCUGGGCGUGCUGCUGCUCCAGUUCCAACUGUUCUGCCUGCAGCUAUGGAACCCUGAC
rnacentral:lncRNA from 1 species